GCUUGCUGCGUUGGCUACAGGAAGGAGUUGGAAGGCGGAACUGCCGAAGGCAGCGACAAGCUCCCAGAUUGAAGUCCUGGAACAAAUGAUUUCGAAGCAUCUCCUGUUGAUGAAGAUGAUGAAAUAGCAAAGAUACAUGACAAAGAAUAUCUUUUAGCAAAAUCAGAAGAAGACAUUCGAAAAGCUGAUUUAAAAGCUAUUGGAAGUUUUCUUGGAACAAGAUCUGUUGGAGGAACUCUUGGUGCUCUUGGAUUAAGUGGAAAAUACGCUAUCGAAUCUUUAACCGGUGUUUUAUAUCCAAAAAUGCCACCAACAAGAGGAGAGAAAAGACAACGAACGGAACCUGUAGACGACAGUGGUAUAGAAAACCCACAAGAUGCUUCCCAAAAUCAAAAUAUUGGAGUUGACCAAGUUCAAAGACCUCAAGCUGGAUCAUCAAUACCUGGUGGAACUGGAAGUGAUGUUAUUGCAACAAUUAUACGAGAUCCUGGAAUAACGAAAGUACAAGGAAUAUAUCGUAAAACUUUUCAAAUUUACACUGCUGGAUUACAGUUUGGUAUAAAAAAUUUUGCAAAUUGGAAAGAUUUUUGGAAUAUGAAUAAUUUUGAAUUAUUAACUACUCCAUUUGCAGAUAUGACUCCGAAUAAUUUACAAUUAUUUAUGAGUCCUACAGAAUUUAGCAAUCUUCCUAUAAAUACGUGGGCCAAAAGAUGUAGAAUCAAAAUAACUCCUUUAGGAUAUAGAUUACCCUUUGCAACUAAUGAAGCAGUAUCUUCUUUUGCUAAUAGUCAAACAUUAGUUCAAAUUGGAUAUGGAAUUGGAUUAAAUAAAAUAAUGAAUUAUAUAUCUACAAGUAUAACAGUAGAUCCUGCAGAUUUAACAUCCGUAAAUGCUUUAGCAGAUUCUAUAGUACCUGCAAAUACUUUAUACGGAAUAGAUAACUCGAUAGGAUGCAAUAUUGGAAUUCCACGUCAUUGGAAUAAAUAUAUUGUAAUUCCAAAACUAAAAAAACAUAAAGGCACACCCAAUUUAUUAAGACAUUAUCAAAUUCGAAAUGUAAAUGAUUGUAAAGGAAUACCAGUUAUAGAUUAUACAUAUAAUUAUAAAUGUGGUAUUUUAAAAUUUCCAUACAUGGCUCAAAGAAGCCAAAGCCCGCGAUGCCGUUUAGGGUAAUACUAUCAGAGAGGGGUACUUGGCAGAAAGCUCUUGGCUUGUUUCUCCAGGAGAAGCUAAAACUUCUUGAUAUCGAGGAUCCAUUUCUUGUUAAAAACUCGGAAGAAGUUCUUGAUUUUGCUCGCUCUCAGUCUGAGGGUAAGCUUUAUGCCUUUUCUGUAGACAUCAAAGAUUUGUAUUACUCCCUGCCCCAUGACAUGUUGAUUUCUUGUGUUGAAGCUAACAUUGACCGCUUUGGGAUUGUCGCUUUUCAGAACACAGCUGGCUUAUCUGCUUCAGGAUUUGUACAGCUUCUAAUUAUGUAUCUUAAAUCGACAUACAUUCACUGGGAUGGGAAACCGUUUCUACAGAAGAAAGGAGUUUGUAUCGGAUCUUGCAUAGCCCCAGUGCUCAGUGAUCUCUUGUUGGCAGAUGUAGAUAAGUCCAUGUCAAGUAUUCUACAUAGUGAGGGUGUCAUUAAAACGUUCCGUUUUGUAGAUGACUAUCUGUUAGUCAUCAGAGGGAAUGGUACCAACCCUGAGUCCCAAGCACUGAACAUCAUAUCCAAGGUUCAAACAUUCUUGAGCCCAUUAGAGCUUACACAUGAGUUGCCAGUUAACAGUUCUAUCAAGUUUCUGGACAUUACUCUCACCUUCAAUCAAGACCAUAUGUGUUGGGCGUACUGCCCGCGAGCAAACAAACCACUCCUUCCUUACGAGUCUGCGCAUUCAAAGUUAGUUAAAAGAGGGAUUGUCAAGUACUGCCUACGUAAUGUGUUGCAGAAGUCUUGCCCGCAUCAAAUGGCAGAGUGUCUUCAACGACAAACCGAGAGGUUGCAUAGAGCAGGUUACCCAACGCAUGUUGUGGUAUCUGUAGCUGAAGCCUUGCUCAGGCAAAUUCGAGCUCAUGGCCCUAAUCAACUGCCGGCACCCGACCCCGACAGAGGGAGAGUAGUUGUCAUUCCCUACCUAGAUAACAUCUCGCACUGCCUAAAAAAGAUUGGUGAAAGGGCAGGAGCAAGGGUUGUCUUCUCGGCCCCAGAAAAGCUAAGUAAGCUCAGUAAGUUGAGUUGUCCCCAGGCUACGCACACAUGCAGUACCAAGCACAGAAAUCCCGUUGUUCCCUGUGAUGAAGGAGUGGUGUAUAAGUUACCACUCACUUGUGGAAAAUGUUAUAUAGGCCAAACAGGGCGAUGUAUUAAUGAUCGCUUGCGCGAACACCGGAACCAUGUGAACAACAAGAAAAAAGAGGGGUGGUUGGCUUAUCAUUCUAACACUCAUGGAUGUGAACCCAUCUAUCGAGAUUGCCAUAUCAUCGCAAGAAACAAGACUAAACUAACAAGGGAAAUAAUAGAAGCAGAAAAGAUAAAUAACCAUGAAGAUGUAUGCGUUAGCACACCUUCUGUAUCUCUAACCGAAAAGGAACUGAUCUUCUUCAGAACCAGUGUGCUCAGAACCGGUGCGCCCAGAAUGUGACACGUGUGCUGUGAGGGGGUUUAUGCUUUCUUACUCAUUUUCUUCAAUAAACUUAGUUGGAAGUUAG